rnacentral:rRNA from 1 species
UACGUAGGGUGCGAGCGUUAAUCGGAAUUACUGGGCGUAAAGCGUGCGCAGGCGGUUUUGUAAGACAGAUGUGAAAUCCCCGGGCUCAACCUGGGAACUGCAUUUGUGACUGCAUAGCUAGAGUACGGUAGAGGGGGAUGGAAUUCCGCGUGUAGCAGUGAAAUGCGUAGAUAUGCGGAGGAACACCGAUGGCGAAGGCAAUCCCCUGGACCUGUACUGACGCUCAUGCACGAAAGCGUGGGGAGCAAACAGG